rnacentral:rRNA from 1 species
UACGUAGGGUGCGAGCGUUAAUCGGAAUACUGGGCGUAAAGCGUGCGCAGGCGGUUCGUUGUGUCGGUGGUGAAAGCCCCGGGCUUAACCUGGGAAUGGCCAUGGAAACUGGCGAACUGGAGUGUGGCAGAGGGGGGUGGAAUUCCGCGUGUAGCAGUGAAAUGCGUAGAGAUGCGGAGGAACACCGAUGGCGAAGGCAGCCCCCUGGGCUAGCACUGACGCUCAGGCACGAAAGCGUGGGGAGCAAACAGG